CCAGGCCAGAUUUUAUCUGUCCAAGAGGGAAAAUGUGGCAAGAUUUAUUUAUUUACAGAAGCUCCUCAGUGCAAGGGGAGUUUUGAGCUCCACACAGUGGUGCCGUGGCGCAGCCUGGCUUUUCCCCACUCUGGAGACACAUCUUUUGGCUGGGGUCCCCAGGGGGAGAGGGCAACCCAUGGGAUUUGCCCGCUGUCCUCGGGGCUUGACGCUGCUCUGAAGCUGUAUUUCACCAGUUGCCAUGGCACCACCAGCACAUCAGCCCGAGGAAAGAGAGCAUCCAGAGGGGCUGAGCCAUCCCCGUGGCUCGCUGCUACCCAGGGCUUGGGGUGCCACCGUCCCAGGCAGGAGCAAACUGAUCCCUGGGAUCACUUUGAUGCCUGGUGGAGAUGCCACGUGCCUGGUGGAGAUCUGACCAUGCUCCCAGCCCUGCAGCCGGCUGUGGCACCCAAGGCAGGGGUGGAGAGGUUGGGCAAGAUCAGCCAGCUCCUCGUGGUCUGCAGCAGCUCCAGACUGAGGGAAGGGAGCACGGGGACUGAGGGACAGACCUAGCAGAAGUCAAAAGUAUGGUACUUAACAAGUAUGGAAGUGACGUUGAGCCCACCUGAAACCAGAGGUGUGGCUGUACCCACCUUAUUAUGUUGUGACUAAAGUGCUGCACGUUGUAUUUUCCCUUCUAGGAGAUGAAAACCCAGAGGAAGGCUGAAUUAAGAGCAAAAAUGAAAUCCACAACGAGCAGGGGGUGGUUUUGUUGCAUGGGCUGUUAACCUUACAGACAUGGCCCUUUGGCUCCUGCACCUUAUCCCUGCAAAGGCAUUAAAAGCCCACUGCUCCUACCUCGGACAGACCUAAUUUCAGGUCGAUAGCUCCCAUCCUGGACCACAGCUCCCUUCUCUGUCACCUGUACCGGGUGCUCCCAGCCCUCCCUCUCCCGCCCCAAGGCGUGCUGCAGGCUGACUUUGUGGCCUCAGACUUGUUUUGCUGUCGUGUUUUUCCUGUGCCUGCCUCCAGGCAGACAGCAGGCACGUGGCCCUCCAUCCACUGCUGCUGAUGAUUUAUUUUGCUGUCAAAAGCUCCAGGGCUUUCAGUCACUCUGGGGGUCAGUGGCUCCAACCAGGAGAAGACUUUGCAGUUUUAAGUUUUCUUUAACAUGUGUAACAGCACCCAAAACACAAGUGACUUGGAUUAUUCUCUUGUCCAGCUCUGCCCAAGGUCAAAGCCAAGAACAACACAGACGAGCCAUAGGAAAGCACACAAAAGUCUUCUGCAAGCAUGCACGCAGGGCUCUGCAGCACGAGUGUGGUUUUGCUCUCCCUGGGGCUCUCCAAGGUGAGCCAGGAGCAGCAUCCUCAGGUUACAGAUGGGGAAACUGAGGCAGGCAGCCACCAAGCAGGUCGCAAGCUUACACAGAACAGGGACUAGUCCCUCCUUGGCUUCAGUUGGCUUUAAUUCAGUCGCAGCAAUCCAGGUGAGGUGCCCAUUUUCUAACCCAAAUCCAGGCUGUUUCUGCACCGAAGGAGAGGAGCAGUGCCAGGAGGGAAGGGAACAUGGACGCGGGAGCCAAGCCUUCAUGAAGAGGGGAGGGAGAAAUAGAGAGAUCUCCUAUCUGAGACCCCAGCAUUAAUUCAUAUGUUGAUGAAUGCCAUAAAUUAGAUUGCAAUCAGCCUGCAUUCUCCGGGGACCCGUUCCCCAUAACGAGGCAGAGCCGAGCCUGUUCCCAACCCAGAGAACUUCUGGAGACUCCGAGCGCAGCUCCUUCCUUCCCCGCCCUCGGUAAAUAAAUAACGUUUGAGAAGAGGAAGGUAUUAGCUG
rnacentral:lncRNA from 1 species